rnacentral:rRNA from 1 species
UACGAAGGGGGCUAGCGUUGCUCGGAAUCACUGGGCGUAAAGGGUGCGUAGGCGGGUCUUUAAGUCAGGGGUGAAAUCCUGGAGCUCAACUCCAGAACUGCCUUUGAUACUGAGGGGCUCGAGUCCGGGAGAGGUGAGUGGAACUGCGAGUGUAGAGGUGAAAUUCGUAGAUAUUCGCAAGAACACCAGUGGCGAAGGCGGCUCACUGGCCCGGUACUGACGCUGAGGUGCGAAAGCGUGGGGAGCAAACAGGG